GUGCUUUCCAUCCAGCAGAUUUAGUGUAGAGGGUUAGAUGGAUCCAAAUUGGUCUCAUUUGGCUAGGCAAUGGGCAUCAUGGUUAAGAACAAAAGGACCCCAAGUUAGACUUGGGGUAACUAAAGUAAAGCAGUAGGAAUUUGGAUCAAAGACAGGUUUUGAGAGAUUAGUUAGGUGAGAGGAUGGGAACACAGGCACCAUCAACAGAAAAGUCUUUCAUGGGAGUCCAGAUGCCCACUGUGGUGAUGUGUU
rnacentral:lncRNA from 1 species